rnacentral:tRNA from 1 species
CAUUGUUUAGCGGGUCAGGACAUUUUUUUUUCAAGGAGGCAGCGGGGGUUUGGAUUCCCCUGGGGGUAGGGGA